AAUCAACGCUGGCGGCGUGCCUAACACAUGCAAGUCGAACGCGAAAGUCCCGCAAGGGAUUAGUAGAGUGGCAAACGGGUGAGUAACACGUGGGUGACCUGCCUUCGAGUGGGGGAUAACGUCCCGAAAGGGACGCUAAUACCGCAUGACAUCCUGCCUUUGAAGAGGUGGAGCUUAAAGCCGGGGAUCGCAAGACCUGGCGCUUGAAGAGGGGCCCGCGCCUGAUUAGCUAGUUGGUGAGGUAACGGCUCACCAAGGCAUCGAUCAGUAUCCGGCCUGAGAGGGCGACGGACACACUGGGACUGAGACACGGGCCCAGACUCCUACGGGAGGCAGCAGUGGGGAAUUGUUCGCAAUGGGCGCAAGCCUGACGAUGCAACGCCGCGUGGAGGAUGAAGAUCUUCGGGUCGUAAACUCCUUUC
rnacentral:rRNA from 1 species